rnacentral:misc_RNA from 1 species
CUGUAUUGCCGCCAUAUCAUUGCUGACCGUUUUGCGAGGCUUUGUGUGUGUGUGUGUGCGUUUCCCAAAGUGGUGUUGCGCAUUGUUUUGGUGGAAUUUUUUUGUGUAUUUUCGCCUCGUAUAUUUUUCCACAGCGUAUUCGGGGUCGUCAGGCCAAAGGAAACAAACACGCAAACGAGCCAGACAAACGAAUUGGCGUGACUGCUCUCCUUGCCGUCUCCCUGGCGUGGCCGCUUCCCCCAUUCGCGCACCGGUUCUGCUUUGACGCGCUGCCGACCUUGAGCGCUGUGAAGCAAGUAAGAACAUUGACUGGCGCACAGCACACUCUGCGUCUUCCCUUCACUCCUCGGAUCUCCCUGCACACGAGGAAGCAGAGAUGGAGCUCGCCACAAUGGACCCUGUUGCGCAGCAGGAGCUGCAGCGCAUGACGCGGGCGAUCGAGGAGUACGCGGCUCGGUUGGACUCGCUCGGCGCCGAACUGGAGACAAUCGAGCAGCAGAACCGCAACGAUGAAGUGAGUCGCCAGAUUCAGCAGUACAACGAGGCCACGGUGGCGCCACAGGAGAUCGCCGCCGAGGAUGCCAUGGACAACAUCGUCCGUCUGCAGAACCAGCUGAAGAUUGUGCAACGCCGGAACCAGCUGCUGGCGCGCGAGAAUGCCAUGCAGGAGAAGCUGCUGCGCGAACGGGCAAACAAGCUUCACAGCACGCACAAAGAGCUGGACAUGGUAAUGGCUGCAACGGGCUGGUACGGCGGCAAGCGUGAUGUGCAGUUCUCACGGAUCGAGCGCGAGCGGGCGGAUAUUCAUGACAUGUCGCUUGUGGAGGCGUCUCUGCGCGCCGACAUCAAGAGCAGCAAGGUGACGAUUGCAAGGCUGGAGAAGACGGUGCUAGCGCUGAGCGCGAAGGUGCUGGAGAACGAGGAGCGUCGCACGAGGUACAUGCAGCUGUGCAACGACUGCCGGGUGCGAGAGAAAGAGUGCAACGAGCUGCAGGCCAAGGCGCAGCGCAUGGCGGCGGACAAUAAUAAGCUGCAGCUGGUGGUCAAGACAGAAAGCGACUCAACCCUCGUCGAGAAUAGCAUCGCGUGCAUGGAGAGCGAUCGCGAGUUCCUCUCCGACGCCGUACAGGACAUGAAGAUGGCCUGCCGCCGCCAGGAAAACGUUAUCAAGGCGCAACUAACCCGUGAGCAGCAGCUGCAACGGCGCUUGGAUACCGUGACCAAGUCGCUGAAUGAGAUGCGGCUGGCGCGCGAAUUCGAACGCAACGUCGCCAAGUCGGCGUUGGUGCCGUCGGCCUCGCGCGAGGAGCCGGAGGACGUGUCGGAGGUGCUGCCACAGGAUGAGUACAUACCAGUGGACACUUUCCGACUUCUCUACAAGAACAACGAGAUGAUGCGCACCAAUGUAGCACGCAAGAACAUGCUCGUGCUGGAGAAGGAGAGCGUUGUACAGUCGAUGGAGGCGAGGCUGAUGCAGCACGUUGAAAAGCACAACGAAGUUGCCCGCUUUGAUGACAGCAUUCACAUCUCCGGCGAAGCAUCUGUGCGAGCCGCAAAGCGCAACCUCGAUGCCGAGGAGAAUAAGCUGGUGCGCCAAAUCGAGGAGCUGCGUGCGUCGAACAAUCAGAUGCGCGCUGCUAUCGCCAAGAAUGCGGCACCGACGCAGGCUCGCAAGGCGGCAUCGGGUCGCAGGAAAUGAGGCAACAAGUGGAGGUGAGGCGGGGAUAAAAUCGCGUGAAGCGAGCAGGUGUGCCGCGUGCCUCGUGUGUGUGUGCGUAAAUAUCUUUUCUCUGCUUCUCUUCCUCGUCGUACGCUGCGUUUCGUUGAUCUCCUCAUUUCGGAGAGGAUUGGAGCGCUGACCCACGCACCUCUACCGAAGACCAGAGGGUUACCGGCAUUUGUUUUCCUUACCGCCCUCACGGAUAUUUGGUGUGGGUGGUGCGCUGUGCUUCCCCCCUCCGCUUGUUGCGAGUCCCCCUGUACGGGCGCACACCCGUUGAUGAAGAGAGUUUUCUUUGGCGUUGUUGCUUUUUGUUCUCGUUCUUCCUCCUUUCGUGCUUUUUUUCUUUAUCUCUUUCCGUGUUUCCCCCUCCCCUGCCAUACUCUCCCUCAGCGCUGGGUCAGCUCUUCGCUUUCUUCUUGCUCUGGUGAUUCGGACACGCACUUCUGUGCCUCCUCGUCGCCGUUCCAACUGUACUGACACAACCCUCCCCGUUGUGCUUACUUGUAUCUUUUGUUUUUGCUCGUUUUGCUUCUCCCUCUUCCCGUAGUGUGUGAGUGCGUGGGCGUGCAGACGUUUGUGAGUCUUCUCGUGUCUGUCUAAGUGUCUGUGAGCUUGCGCGUCGUUGAUCAACGGAGUUGUCGUCACUUCUCCAUCCUGUACGGUCUUACCUUUGUUUUGUCUUCUUUGUAUUCCUUUUCUUUUCCUCCUCUCUUUCCUCUCUGCCACUUUCCUUUCACUCUGUGCCUGUGUGCCCACUCGGGUGUACGCGCUCAUCGUUUCUCCGCCUCUUCCCGUCUCCUGUGCGUGCGGGACGUACGUGCAGCUGCGUUGAAGGCCGCACCCUUUCCGUCUAACGCUGUGCGAGGACGAACGCGAUCGACUUCGCUUUCGCAGUGGGGUGCGGUACUCACUGCAUGUGCCCAUCCCCCUUCCCCUCCCCCGUUUUUGGAGACCGAAAGAAGAGCGCGCAGCGGCAGAGUUGAUGGCAGGGGGAGGCUUAGGGUGACUUGCAAACUGCCCUGUGCGCCGCCCCCUUCUCUCCCAGCAUUUUAGAGAAUGAGAAGGCAUAACACGAAUGGAAGAUGAUGUAUCUCCCUGAAGCAACACGAAACUGUAAAGAAAAUGCAAUCAAGCGCACAGGCACUUUCCUUCUUCCAAUG